GAUGCUGUCGACCAAACGAAGGCCUGGAAUACCAAAAUAGCCACAUAGGUACUUGCUGGACUUGAAACAGAUGGAAGGUGAGCUCUGCCUAGGACACGCCCAGCCUCAGCUGGAGGAGAAGCUGCCUCUUUCUCAGCCUGAGCCCCCUGCUGGCUCUGUAGGACUCAGGUCACUCCUUUUUGGCCCCUCCCCUGUUCUCCCCCGGCCUCCUGGGGUGCAGAGCCACCCUGAGAUGGGGUCCUGCCCUCUCCCGCCAUCUUUUCACCCCCUCUCUAGCCCUGGGGCUGCUGUGUCCCCAGCUGUCUCUUCUCUCGCUGACACCUCCACUGUCCCAUCUCCUCCCACAGAGCUGUGCCGUUUCUAGGUGAGCUCCUGCCUGGUCCUGCCUCCUGGGUAAUGUAUCAGCCUCGCCCACUGUCUGCGGCUGCCUCUCUGGGCCCCUGGGACAGACCCCACUGUGUCCAGUUCAUAAGAUGGAGUCUCGCUCUGUCACCAGGCUGGAGUGCAGUGGCACAAUCUCAGCUCACUGCAACCUCGACCUCCUGG
rnacentral:lncRNA from 1 species